UGGCGGCGUUGGACGCGGCGGGUUGACGCGGCCGGUUGAAAACCGGCCCCACCAAGAGGGUGGGCUGACGCGGCCGGUUCAGAACCGCCCCCGCCAA
rnacentral:tRNA from 1 species